rnacentral:rRNA from 1 species
GUCCUGGCCAGGACGAACGCUGGCGGCGUGCCUAAUACAUGCAAGUAGAACGCUGAAGGAGGAGCUUGCUUCUCCGGAUGAGUUGCGAACGGGUGAGUAACGCGUAGGUAACCUGCCUGGUAGCGGGGGAUAACUAUUGGAAACGAUAGCUAAUACCGCAUAAUAGCAGUUGUUGCAUGACAACUGUUUAAAAGGUGCAAUUUGCAUCACUACCAGAUGGACCUGCGUUGUAUUAG